GGAGUGGACGCAUCACUGGUGUUCGGGUUGUCAUGCCAAUGGCACUGCCCGGUAGCUAAAUGCGGAAGAGAUAAGUGCUGAAAGCAUCUAAGCACGAAACUUGCCCCGAGAUGAGUUCUCCCUGAGACUAUAAGUCUCCUGAAGGAACGUUAAAGACGAUGACGUUGAUAGGCCGGGUGUGUAAGCGCAGCGAUGCGUUGAGCUAACCGGUACUAAUGAACCGUGAGGCUUAACCUUACAACGCCGAAG
rnacentral:rRNA from 1 species